rfam:Octopus bimaculoides Scaffold13506_contig_285, whole genome shotgun sequence.
GGUAGUUUAGUUUAAUGGUAAAACACUUGACGCGUAAUCACGGAGAUGUGAGUUCGAGUCUCAUGGCUGGCCA